CCCGUUAAAUCGGGCUGUCCAUCAGUUUAAAAAACUGGUGAAGAAAGGGCCGGGCAAGACCGGUGCCAGCCGCCGCGGUAAUACCGGCGGCUCGAGUGGUGGCCACUAUUACUGGGCUUAAAGCGUUCGUAGCUGGUUUGUUAAGUCUCUGGGGAAAUCUUCCGGCUCAACCGGAAGGCGUCUCAGGGAUACUGGCAGACUAGGGACCGGAAGAGGUGAGGGGUACUCCAGGGGUAGGAGUGAAAUCCUGUAAUCCUUGGGGGACCACCUGUGGCGAAGGCGCCUCACCAGAACGGCUCCGACAGUGAGGGACGAAAGCUGGGGGAGCAAACCGGAUUAGAUACCCGGGUAGUCCCAGCCGUAAACGAUGUGCGUUAGGUGUAUCGGUGACCACGAGUCACCGAGGUGCCGAAGAGAAAUCGUGAAACGUACCGCCUGGGAAGUACGGUCGCAAGGCUGAAACUUAAAGGAAUUGGCGGGGGAGCACCACAACAGGUGGAGCCUGCGGUUUAAUCGGACUCAACGCCGGAAAACUCACCAGAUAAGACAGCUGAAUGAUAGUCGGGCUGAAGACUCUAUCUUGACUAGCUGAGAGGAGGUGCAUGGCCA
rnacentral:rRNA from 1 species